UUAAUAAUUUUGCUGUCGGAUCCCUGACUACGCAAAAGUGGUAAAAUAACUUUGAUAAUAUUAUAAAUCAUGCUGGAAAUUUAUCUUGGAGUAGUUUCGCUAAUUCUCCAGUAGUCCUAAUUAUUCUUUAUUUCGGUCCUUUCCGUGUUGGGCGCCAAUUAUUUCUCCAGUCCUACUGGCUGUUGUCCAGGAAAUAAAUUUUAAACUUUAACUUUCACAAUUUAAUAAUUUUUAUUAAGCAAUUUGUUUCUCCAGUCCUACGUGCUGUUGUCCACGAAAUAAACAUUAAAUUUUAACUUUUACAAUUUAAUAAUCUUUACUAAGCACUAUGUGCUCUUCUUAAAGUCUCGCUUAAGACUAAAACAAAAAAAUGUGAGCCCUGUCUGAUUCCCUAUGCUUGGCACAAUUUCGGCAAUUCUGCUGUUACUGCACCUGAUACUUUUGUUGUUGUCUAGCUGCACCUGCUGUUGUUGUUGUCGUUUAGACAACAGGUGAAUCGCUGCUACCGCGUUGAUAUUGGAGUAGCGAAGAAUUUGCCAGUAGAUGAGAAAAUGCUGACGCGGACUAUUCCCACGCUAACUGGCUGGUGUGGACUAGCUCUAAGAACGCUACAGUGGGCAGACUAGCAGACUAAUGUGUUAACUUAUAUGUACAUAUGCGUUACAAAGUCAUCCCGAAGUUCGAAAAUUUUAUAUUAAGUAAAUUGGUCCGAUUCAACUUAUUUUUGACAUAUAGACAUACAAUUAUAAGAAAAGAAUUAUCCCUUAAUUUUAGUUAUAUAUAUCACACAUUGACCGAGAUUUUCGAUCAAAAGCCAAGUAUACGGAUCUAAAUAUUUAGUACCUAGGAGCUUGAACAGGUUUUGUUGGGUUUAAACAAUUUUUGGUCACAAGGUGGCACAUACUAAAGACAUUAUUCGUGCAAAGUUUUAUCCAUUUAUAAUAAUUGCUUCUUGAUUUGUGUACUGGAAACGGAACGAAUCAAGUGGAAUUUAGAAUUGUAUAUAUGGAAAGUAGGAGGGUUAUCCCCCGAUUUCAUCCAUUUGUAUACUGUUGGUAGAAGUUCUUAUCAGAUUUAUACUUGUUAGAGAGCGUGGCCACCCCCAUUUUUCUUUUUAAAUUUUUGUCCACAAGUGCCCAUUGCUACUGUGAUCCUCUGUACCAAAUUAAAGCUUUAUAGUAUCUUAAUUUUGUGCUUAGUUAUGACACUUUAUAUGUUUUCGGUUAAGGGCGAUUAGUGAACGUGUAAGUGGUCCGAUUACACCCAUCUACAAACUCGAAUUUUCUUUGUAUUCUAAGGAACCCACAAACUAAGUUUCAUCGAGAUGUCUCAAUUUUUACUCAAUUUACAGAUUGCACGGACGGACGGACAGACAGACAGUCAAUCGGAUUUCAACUUUUCUCGUCGUCCUGAUCAUUAUAUAUACAUAACCCUAUAUCUAUCUCGCUUAGUUUUAGGUGAGACGUACAACCGUUAGGAGAACAAAACUGUUAUAUUCUGCAGCAACUGGAUGCAAGAGUAUAAAAAUUAAACUAUAUUUCGUUACAUGCCGACAUAACGUCCGAACCACAGUGCGGAAUGACGUAUUUGAACAGCUACACCCGUAAGCACAAUCUGGCUAUUUCGUGUAACAAAUAAGAUCCCUUUUUAUAUCAGCAAACUACGUUUGGGAAGUUUUCCGACUUCCAAAAUCUUUGUGCUGGGACCUCAUCCACCAACUGAAGCCAUAUGAUCAACAGCAAACCUCGAUUCUGUUUGAACUUCGGCAAUGGCUCCUACCAGUGUUGCGUUGGAAAUUGAUAUUUUUCAUUGAUGAGCCAAUCCAGCGUUUCCCGUAGCAUUGAACAAAUUUCUAAAUUGGUGGUGGAUUGGUGUAUUCUGUUGAAGAAUACAAUAGAGUUAAGACUGAGUGAAUUGUAGUCCAAUUUGAAAGAAAAUAAAUCGCUCUAGAACAAUUUUAUUCCAGAUUCUAUUCGAAAAUUCCGUUCGUUCGAGCUUUCAAUCUACACGGACGUGUUUUCAAGCGCUCCGUAGAAACUUUCGAAAAAAAACAAAAAUAAAAAUAAAACAAAAUAAACAAAUAUUAAAAAAGUGCAUUAAGUGCAAGCGUUAGCCAAUAACGCCGAAAGUGCAAAUCAAAACAUAAAAAAUCAUAAACUGUUUACAAACAAUAAACAUAAUAAAAUAACAAAUAAUAAGUGGGAAAUAAAACAA